rnacentral:tRNA from 1 species
GCCCUCGUAGCUCAGCUGGAUAGAGCGUUGGACUUCUAAUCCAUUGGUCGCAGGUUCGAGUCCUGCCGGGGGCG